rnacentral:sRNA from 1 species
ACAUGGCGGCGCCCAGGGGCUCAAGCCGCACGUGAGAAAGUCUGGGCAUCUGGGAAUCGGAGAGUAUAGCCUGUGAGCCGCUUUCCCCUCCUUACUGUCGGUUGCAUCCCUUCGACACUCCCGAGGCCGUCGCGGGCCACUGGCCCUCUGCAGCCAUGAAGACAAAGCCCGUUUCCCACAAGACCGAGAACACCUACCGGUUUCUUACAUUUGCUGAACGACUGGGGAAUGUUAAUAUUGAUAUUAUUCACCGGAUUGAUAGAACUGCAAGCUAUGAGGAGGAGGUUGAAACCUACUUUUUUGAGGGUCUGCUGAAAUGGAGAGAAUUAAACCUCACAGAACACUUCGGAAAAUUUUACAAAGAAGUUAUUGACAAAUGCCAAUCAUUCAAUCAGUUGGUGUAUCAUCAAAACGAGAUAGUUCAGAGUUUGAAGACUCACCUGCAAGUUAAGAACAGUUUUGCCUAUCAACCCCUUUUGGAUUUGGUUGUACAGUUGGCACGAGAUCUGCAGAUGGAUUUCUACCCACACUUUCCAGAGUUUUUUUUGACUAUCACCUCGAUCCUGGAGACUCAGGACACAGAGUUGUUAGAAUGGGCUUUCACCUCGUUAUCAUAUCUUUAUAAGUACCUGUGGAGACUGAUGGUGAAGGACAUGUCCAGUAUAUACAGCAUGUACAGCACACUCCUGGCUCAUAAAAAGCUACAUAUAAGAAAUUUUGCUGCUGAAAGUUUUACUUUUUUGAUGAGAAAGGUCUCUGAUAAAAAUGCACUUUUCAAUUUAAUGUUUCUUGAUCUUGAUAAACAUCCAGAAAAAGUUGAAGGUGUUGGACAGUUGCUCUUUGAAAUGUGCAAAGGAGUUAGAAAUAUGUUUCACUCCUGUACAGGCCAGGCAGUGAAGCUAAUUUUGCGAAAGCUAGGACCAGUCACUGAAACAGAAACUCAACUACCAUGGAUGUUAAUUGGAGAAACACUCAAAAACAUGGUCAAAUCCACUGUAUCCUACAUCUCCAAGGAACAUUUUGGUACAUGUUUUGAAUGUUUGCAAGUGAGUUCUAAUCUUUAAGGAUGGGUUUUUGAUAAGGAGUCUAAGGAUUUACUGUUUCUGCUCUCAGUUUUGCAAAUCACUCCUAGAAGUUAUAUUUUAUAAUUGUUUUAUUUAUACUUCUAUACACAUAUUAAAAUUUUCCUUCCCUCUGCCCCCCUGUGCUAUUUUUUAUUUGAUAUGUUAUCUUGAGAUGCAGUAGAAGGCUCUGGAGCCAGACUGCCUAUUUGAAUCUUGACCCUUCCACUUACUGCUAGUGUAACCUGGGAAAAUUAUUUGAAAUCUCGAUUCCCCAGUCUCUUCAGAUAAUAAAUGGGGGUAGUAAUAUUCUCUCCCUCAGGGUUGCUGUGAGGAUGAUGAGUGAAUACUUGUAAAAAACUUAGAAUGGGCCAGGCACAGUGGCUCACACCUGUACUCCCAGCACUUUGGGAGGCCGAGGUGGGUGGAUCACCUGAGGUCGGGAGUUCGAGACCAGCCUGAACAACAUGGAGAAACGCUGUCUCUACUAAAAAUACAAAAUGGCGCAUGCCUGCAAUCCCAGC